UUGUUGCAGAAUAAAAUGGGCUCUGCACACAAGAAGCUGAAGAUUUUUGUGAUGUUCCUGUCUCUGGCUACUUUCACAGUCAUGGUGAUACUGAACGCUGGCAAUGCCACCGGGCUGUUCAAAGGCAAGCCCAUUGCAACACGGGGAUUGUUUCGACACRGGCAUCCUCUCCGCUCCCUCGCACC
rnacentral:lncRNA from 1 species